AUUGAACGCUGGCGGCAGGCCUAACACAUGCAAGUCGAGCGGAUGAAGGGAGCUUGCUCCUGGAUUCAGCGGCGGACGGGUGAGUAAUGCCUAGGAAUCUGCCUGGUAGUGGGGGAUAACGUCCGGAAACGGGCGCUAAUACCGCAUACGUCCUGAGGGAGAGAGUGGGGGAUCUUCGGACCUCACGCUAUCAGAUGAGCCUAGGUCGGAUUAGCUAGUUGGUGGGGUAAAGGCCUACCAAGGCGACGAUCCGUAACUGGUCUGAGAGGAUGAUCAGUCACAUGGGAACGUGGACAGGGUCCAUACGCCUGAGGGAGGGAGCAGUGGGGAAUAUGGGACAGUGGGGGAAAGCCUUAUACAGUCAGGGGGAGCGUGUGAAGAAGGUGUUCGGAUUGUAAAGCACUUCAAGGUGGGAGGAAGGGCAGUAAGUUAAUACCUUGCUGGUUUGACGUUACCAACAGAAUAAGCACCGGCUAACUUCGUG
rnacentral:rRNA from 1 species